rnacentral:rRNA from 1 species
UACGGAGGGUGCAAGCGUUAUCCGGAUUCACUGGGUUUAAAGGGUGCGUAGGCGGAUAGGGAAGUCCGUGGUGAAAUCCUGCAGCUUAACUGCAGAACUGCCGUGGAUACUCUCUAUCUUGAAUAUCGUGGAGGUUAGCGGAAUAUGUCAUGUAGCGGUGAAAUGCUUAGAUAUGACAUAGAACACCCAUUGCGAAGGCAGCUAACUACGCGAUCAUUGACGGCUGAUGCACGAAAGCGUGGGGGAUCAAACAGGG